rnacentral:rRNA from 1 species
CAAUAGCGUAUAUUUAGGUUGCUGCAGUUAAAAAGCUCGUAGUUGGAUUUCGGGUGGGAAUGGCCGGUCCGCCGUUUCGGUGUGCACUUGCUACGCCCACCUUGCUGCCGGGGACGUGCUCUUGAGUUCACGCUCGGGACACGGAGUCGGCGAGGUUACUUUGAGUAAAUUAGAGUGUUCAAAGCAGGCCUACGCUCUGAAUACAUUAGCAUGGAAUAACACGAUAGGACUCUGGCCUAUCUUGUUGGUCUGUAGGACCGGAGUAAUGAUUAAGAGGGACAGUCGGGGGCACUCGUAUUUCAUUGUCAGAGGUGAAAUUCUUGGAUUUACGAAAGACGAACUACUGCGAAAGCAUUUGCCAAGGAUGUUUUCAUUAA